rnacentral:lncRNA from 1 species
GUGUGACGUCAUAGAGAGGCGGGGCUUUGGCGCCAGAGGGCUGCCCCUCGGCCGGUGACCGAGUUAAGCACCGAGCUGUAAAUCGCUUGAGACCUGUAUUUGGUUGUUUUGUUGGUUUUGCCAAGUAAGGUCACUUGAGGAUUUCUUGGCUCGAGGUCCCAGGUUGCGCAGACUCUGACUGCAUCGAGUUGAGAAUUUUGGUCAGAAUGUUAAAGUGGAAACCUACCCCAGGCUGUCAUGAGAUGGGGUCCCACUAUAUUGACCAGGCUGGUCUGUAACUCCGGGCCUCAAGGGAUCUUCCCAACUCCACCUCUCAAAGUGCUGGAUUACAGCCUGAGCCACUGGACCUGGCUACUGUCCAUUCUUUGAUGAAGACAAAGUUUACCCUGAAAUCCUGUUCAGGAUCUGUUCCUCAUUUGCAGUCUUUAUUUCUCUACACACCUGUUUUCCCCAAAGUCUUAGAACUGCAAGAGGAGCCUGGCUUGGCCGUGCUGG